UUGAAACACCGGUUUCCAUAUGAUCACCAAAGUUAAGCAAUGUUGAACCUGGUCAGGACUUGGAUGGGUGACCACUCAAGAAUACCAGGUUCUGUAAG